UACGUAGGGUGCAGGCGUUAAUCGGAAUUACUGGGCGUAAAGCGUGCGCAGGCGGUUUCUUAAGUCAGAUGUGAAAGCCCCGGGCUUAACCUGGGAACUGCGUUUGAAACUGGGAGACUUGAGUGUGGCAGAGGGGGGUGGAAUUCCGACGUGUAGCAGUGAAAUGCGUAGAUAUGGGGAGGAACGCCGGUGGCGAAGGCGGC
rnacentral:rRNA from 1 species